rfam:Podiceps cristatus contig16081, whole genome shotgun sequence.
CCUUUUGAGACAAAGGAUCCACUCCACGUCCAACCACACCUAAGGAAAUGUUUUGAAGGAAUUGCCAAGCUCACUUUUAAUCAUGAGAAAGAAAUUACCCACAUGGAGUCAGCAGAAAAUGAAAAAGUAGAGCUCGUGCUGCGAAUAAUUCCAGCAAGUGCCAAGGGGCUAGUUGAAAAAUGGCUUCAUGAGG